rnacentral:rRNA from 1 species
AUUGAACGCUGGCGGCAGGCCUAACACAUGCAAGUCGAACGAGUGGCGGACGGGAGAGUAAUGUCUGGGAAACUGACUGAUGGAGGGGGAUAACUACUGGGAACGGUAGCUAAUACCGCAUACAAUAAGAUGUGCCCAGAUGGCAUUAGCUUGUGGGUGGGGUGACGGCUCACCAAGGCGACGAUCCCUAGCUGGUCUGAGAGGAUGACCAGCCACACGGGAACGGAGACACGGUCCAGACUCCUCCGGGAGGCAGCAGUGGGGAAUAUUGCACAAUGGGCGCAAGCCUGAUGCAGCCAUGCCGCGUGUAUGAAGAAGGCCUUCGGGUUGUAAAGUACUUUCAGCGGGGAGGCGUUACCCGCAGAAGAAGCACCGGCUAACUCCGUGCCAGCAGCCGCGGUAAUUC